CUGGACUCCUACGAAGCUUAUUUACAUGAGAAAGCAUCACAUAACCCUCAAACCUAUAGGAUGUGUAGAAAUUUAAAAGCAAAAAAAUAAAAUAAAAUAAAAAGAAAAGAAGAAGAAGAAAAAAGCUUUACAAUUCUUGCAAGGGCUUGCAGGGGGAAAAAACUACUUCUGGUAAGGAUUCAUGGCUCUGCAGAAGUUUCUGUUGCUCCUGCUGUCUUGCCUUCACCUUCAAGUAAAGGUGUCAUGUUUGUCCUGUCGGUUAAAAUUGUUGGAUGCCCACUUUCUUCAUUAAACCUAUCUACACUGCGCAUGAAUAUCCCUAUAAACCAUAUCCCAGCUGCUAUAAACAAAAUGGCUGUCAGAAUAAGAGCAGUCUCCCUCCAAUUGUUGAUAUAGUCCUGGAGGACCCCAACAAGGGGGGAGGAAGGCACAUCUCCAAAUAAGUGAAUUGAAACAG
rnacentral:misc_RNA from 1 species